AGUUUUGAUUAUGGCUCAGAUUGAACGCUAUGGGAUGCUUUACAUGAUGCAAGUCGAAACCGGCAGCACGGACUUCGGUCUGGUGAUGAGUGGCGAACGGGUGAGUAAUGUAUCGGAACGUGCCUAGUAGCGGGGAUAAUUUAUGCGAAAGCGUAGCUAAUACCGCAUACGCUCUUCGGGGGAAAGCGGGGACCUUCGGGCCUCGCACUAUUAGAGCGGCCGAUAUCGGAUUAGCCAGUUGGUGGGGUGCAACGGCCUACCAUGACGAUCCGUAGCUUAUUUGAGAGGACGACCAGCCACACUGGGACUGAGACACGGCCCAGACUCCUACGGGAGUGGCAGUGGGGAAUUUUGGACAAUGGGGAAACCCCUGAUCCAGCCAUCCCAUGUGUGAGCGAAGGCCUUCGGGCUGUAAAGCACUUUUGGCAGGGAAAGAAACGGUACCGGAUAAUACCCUGCAACUGACGGUACCUGCAUAAGCACCGGCUAACUACGCAAGCCAGCAAAGCCGCGGUAAUACAGGGUGCAAGCGUUAGCCCGAACACUGGGCGUAAAGCGUGGCGCAGGCGGUUCGAAAAGAAAGAUGAAAUCCCAGAGCUUAACUUUGGAACUGCAUUUUAUCAACUACCGAGCUAGAAAGGAAGUCAGAGGGAGGUGGAAUUCGCGUAGCAGUGAACGUGGUGCAGAUAUGCGGAGGAACACCGAUGGCGAAGGCAGCCUCCCUGAUAACACUGACGCUCAUGCACGAAAGUGGGGAGCAAACAGGAUUAGAUACCCUGGUAGUCCACGCCCUAAACGAUGUCAACUAGCUGUUGGGGCUGCGCAAAUUCGGUAGCGCAGCUAACGCGUGAAGCUGACCGCCUGGGGAGUACGGUCGCAGAUUAAAACUCAAAGGAAUUGAUGGGGACUCGCACAAGCGGUGAUGAUGUGGAUUAAUCUGAUGCAACGCGAAAACCCACCUACCCUUGACAUGUCUGGAAUCCCGAAGAGAUUUGGGAGUGCUCAGCAAGAGAAACUGGAACACAGGUGCUGUGAUGGCUGUCGUCAGCUCGUGUCGUGAGAUGUUGGGUUAAGUCCCAACGAGUGCAACCCCUUGUCAGCUGCUACGAAAGGGCACUCCCACGAGACUGCCGGUGACAAACCGAGGAAGGUGGAUGACGUCAAGUCCUCAUGGCCCUUAUGGCAGGGCUUCACACGUCAUACAAUGGUCGGGACAGAGGGUCGCCAACCCGCGAGGGGAGCUAAUCCCAGAAACCCGAUCGGGAACCGGGAUCGCAGUCUGCAACUCGACUGCGUAGUCGGAAUCGCUAGUAAUCGCGGAUCAGCAUGUCGCGGUGAAUACGUUCUGGCCCAGGUACACACCGCCCGUCACACCAUGGGGAGUGGGUUUUACCAGAAGUAGUUAGCCUAACCGUAAGGAGGGCGAUUACCACGGUAGAUUCAUGACUGGGGUGAAGUCGUAACAAGGUAA
rnacentral:rRNA from 1 species